rnacentral:rRNA from 1 species
AGAUUGAACGCUGGCGGCAUGCCUUACACAUGCAAGUCGAACGGUAGAGGGAGCAAUCCUUCGAGAGUGGCGAACGGGUGAGUAAUAUAUCGGAACGUGCCCAGUCGUGGGGGAUAACGUAGAGAAAUUUACGCUAAUACCGCAUACGAUCUAAGGAUGAAAGCGGGGGACCUCGCAAGGGGCCUCGCGCGAUUGGAGCGGCUGAUAUCAGAUUAGGUUGUUGGUGAGGUAAAAGCUCACCAAGCCGACGAUCUGUAGCUGGUUUGAGAGAACGACCAGCCACACUGGGACUGAGACGACGGCCCAGACUCCUACGGGAGGCAGCAGUGGGGAAUUUUGGACAAUGGGCGAAAGCCUGAUCCAGCAAUGCCGCGUGCAGGAAGAAGGUCCGUUCGGUUGUAACGUAGUCUUUUAGUACGGAAACGAAAGGACUUGCCUUAAGUACCGCGAGACCC